UACGGAGGGUGCAAGCGUUAUCCGGAUUCACUGGGUUUAAAGGGUGCGUAGGCGGGUUGGUAAGUCCGUGGUGAAAUCCCCAAGCUUAACUUGGGAACUGCCGUGGAUACUAUCAAUCUUGAAUAUCGUGGAGGUAAGCGGAAUAUGUCAUGUAGCGGUGAAAUGCUUAGAUAUGACAUAGAACACCAAUUGCGUAGGCAGCUUACUACACGGUCAUUGACGCUGAGGCACGAAAGCGUGGGGAGCAAACAGG
rnacentral:rRNA from 1 species